GGUUUCCGUAGGUGAACCUGCGGAAGGAUCAUUAUUGAAUAAACCUGAUGUGAUUGUUAGCUGGCUUUUCGAAGCAUGUGCUCAUCCGUCAUCUUUAUCUCUCCACCUGUGCACAUUUUGUAGUCUUGGAUACCUCUCGAGGAAACUCGGAUUUUAGAAUCGCUGUGCUGUACAAGUCGGCUUUUCUUUCAUUUCCAAGACUAUGUUUUUAUAUACACCAAAGUAUGUUUAUAGAAUGUCAUCAAUGGGAACUUGUUUCCUAUAAAAUUAUACAACUUUCAGCAACGGAUCUCUUGGCUCUCGCAUCGAUGAAGAACGCAGCGAAAUGCGAUAAGUAAUGUGAAUUGCAGAAUUCAGUGAAUCAUCGAAUCUUUGAACGCACCUUGCGCUCCUUGGUAUUCCGAGGAGCAUGCCUGUUUGAGUGUCAUUAAAUUCUCAACCUUCCAACUUUUAUUAGCUUGGUUAGGCUUGGAUGUGGGGGUUGCGGGCUUCAUUAAUGAGGUCGGCUCUCCUUAAAUGCAUUAGCGGAACUUUUGUGACCGUCUAUUGGUGUGAUAAUUAUCUACGCCGUGGAUGUGAAGCAGCUUUAUGAAGUUCUGCUUCUAACCGUCCAUUGACUUGGACAAUUUUGAUAAUUUGACCUCAAAUCAGGUAGGACUACCCGCUGAACUUAAGCAUAUCAAUAA
rnacentral:rRNA from 1 species